ensembl:snoRNA SNORA73 Small nucleolar RNA SNORA73 family
CCAACGUGGACACUCCUGGGAGGUCACUGUUCCUGGGCACUGUCCAGGUGCCACAGAGGAGACUGGGGCUCUGUCCUGUGAUGUACAGUGCUUUUCCACAAUGGUGGUGAUAGAGCUGGACCUUGAGUCUGCACCUGUAUAUUCUUACAGUUUCUUGGUGAUCUGUGUACGAUGACCAAGGAGGUAAAUCACACAGACAACAUCU